rnacentral:rRNA from 1 species
UGGCGGGACGGGGUGGAGUAAUGUCUGGGAAACUGCCCGAUGGAGGGGGGUAACUACUGGAAACGGUAGCUAAUACCGCAUAACGUCGCAAGACCAAAGAGGGGGACCUUCGGGCCUCUUGCCAUCGGAUGUGCCCAGAUGGGAUUAGCUAGUAGGUGGGGUAACGACUCACCUAGGCGACGAUCCCUAGCUGGUCUGAGAGGAUGACCAGCCACACUGGAACUGAGACACGGUCCAG